UCCCUGAUGGUCCUAUGGUUAAGACUUCACCCUGCAAUGCAGGGGGUGCAGGUUCAAUUCCUGGUCAGGGAG
rnacentral:tRNA from 1 species